GGGGGCGACCGGUCUCGACGGAGUGCUGGAGCGACGGUCACUGCGAGUCGAGCGGCCUACCAUCUCGUAAACUUGGUAGGGAAACAACAACCGCCAACAACAACCUGGCGCUAGCGGCUUAGGCCGCUCGUCCUCCCCGGUUUGGCCGAUGGGCUGGGGACAGGGCGUCAUAAACAGCGGCUUACCGAGCGUUGCCGUCUACCCGGCGCGAGGGACACCCCAGGUAGGCUAGCCGGGAUCUAAGCCCGCCCGCGGGCGUGGCCCCGGCGAACCCAAAACGCGGGAUACACUCGUAGAUGUGGCCGGGCUCUCACUUCGGACGCGGGUUCGAUUCCCGCCGCCUCCACCA
rnacentral:tmRNA from 1 species